GCCAGGCAUGGUGGCGCACGCCUGUAAUCCCAGCUCCUUGGGAGGCUGAGGCAGGAGAAUUGCUUGAACCCAGGAUGUGGAGGUUGCAGUGAGCCAAGAUCAUGCCACUGCACUCCAGCCUGGGCAACAGAGUGAGACUCUGUCUCAA
rnacentral:SRP_RNA from 1 species